AUUACAUAGAUUUCUAAGUCAAAAUGUUUUGACCAAAAGCCACAUUUGCCUGAUAUUGGGAGAUACCACUGCUCUCACUCAGAAGCCUGAAUCUCAAGGGGUCCAAGAUGUCAGCAGCCUAUUACUACAGAAAUGUGCUGAAACAUAAUAUAAAUCAGAAAGGAACAAAUAUAGCCAGCAUACAAGAAUGAGGGGAGAGGAGAGUGGGAGCCACCUGCCCAGGAUAACACAGGAGAGUCCUGAGGUUCCCGUGCUGAAGAAAUGGAUCAAUCUAUUCAGCAGGAAACAGCUAUCAGUUGGACAUUCCUAAGGGAAAACUGCAGGAGAGUGGGACCUUCUGCUGAUAUGGAAAUACUAUAUAGAGCUCUCGGGCUGCUGCUGAAGAAGAAACAUUUGCUAAAUUCUAAUAGUUAUUCUCACCUUCUUAUGAAGUUAAUUGUAGAAGGAAGAUUAUGA
rnacentral:lncRNA from 1 species